AUUAGAUCCUCAUGCCUCAACUGUACCAUUGCCCAAAGUGCACUUGAAGGACAUUCACUCGAUGGAUACUGACUGUAAAUGGCGAUCAUAGGUGGAGGGCUCAGUGUGGUGAAAGAUGGAAUAGACGUGUGCCAGUGCACCAGCCUUGAUGAAGCCUUCAUAAAAGCCUUCUGGAUGAAUUUUGCUUUCAACAUUGCAUAUCCAACACACCUGAGAAAGACACUGACUUUCCUUCAGAGGCACAUUCUCAACAUUAGAAGAUGGAGACAAGCACUGCCAUUAUCGUUGACUGGAAGUCUGUCAGUCCAGAUGUGAGGAAGACCUACAGAGUGAGUUUGAGCUCAGCAGGUGUGAUGGCUGUGGAUGCAUCUACAAAAGGAAUGAAAUCACAAAAAAGUUGACUGGCACUCAUCUAUACCACAGGUUAUACUAAUAUUUGGUUCAUGUGCAUGUGCAACUCCAACAUGUUGGAUUAACUUCAAAAGAGUGAAUGUCCUUCGAGUGCACUUUGUGUAAUGGUACAGUUGAGGCAUGAGGAUCUAAUACAAAAGGCUAAUCAUUCAGAGUAAAGUUACUGGCAGUGCUUGUCUCCAAGUUGACUGGCACUCAUCUAUACCACAGGUUAUACUAAUAUUUGGUUCAUGUGCAUGUGCAACUCCAACAUGUUGGAUUAACUUCAAAAGAGUGAAUGUCCUUCGAGUGCACUUUGUGUAAUGGUACAGUUGAGGCAUGAGGAUCUAAUACAAAAGGCUAAUCAUUCAGAGUAAAGUUACUGGCAGUGCUUGUCUCCAUCUUCUAAUGUUGAGAAUGUGCCUCUGAAGGAAUGUCAGUGUCUUUCUCAGGUGUGUUGGAUAUGCAAUGUUGAAAGCAGAAUACAUCCAGAAGGCUGUUAUGAAGCCUUCAUCAAUGCUGGUGCACUGGCACACGUCUAUUCCAUCUUCUGUCACCACACUGAGCCCUCCACCUAUGAUUGCCAUUUUACAGUCAGUAUCCAUCAGUUGUAUGGUAGGAAAAAAUAAAAUAUAAUAAUAAUAAUAAAAUAAAUAAAUAAACACUGUUCAAAUUCAUCAAAUUCUGUUCCGUCCUCUUUGGCUCAGACAGUGUAGCUACAUACAGUGCAGAACUGCAAAAACUAUUAGAAGCUAAUGUAUAAGGGUCACAAUAUACGAUGCAUUUCAUGUUCUUGUAUACACAGAUAAAUCUUACAUUGUUUUCUAAAACUAUUGCUUUAAAUUUUUAACAGAUGGGCUAAAAGGGUACAGAAGAAUAAAAUAUUACAUUAAAAGAUUUGAAACAAGAUAUUUCACAGUUUUUUUUUUUUACUAUACUCAAUCCAGCAGGUGUCCUUAAGUAUGGGUGUUUUUUGAGGACAUCCUCCACAGACAUUCCUUCCGUGCUUUCUCCAGGUCUCCGGGACAAUGUUCCUGCUGUGUGGUCUUUGACAGUCCAGGUGUCUGGAUGUGUUUUCUGAUACUCACUUUGUAGCACAUUCACAUGGGCCUCAACAGACACUGAAUCCUCCCCAACACAAGUUUCCUUCAUCAGAACAACAGAAACAGAUCAUGCUUAGACCGUGACAGAUAUGAGAAACAUCUAAAUACUUAUUGAACAAGGUGC
rnacentral:lncRNA from 1 species